CACGCCGACGGCUUUAGUUGGCGCAGCUAACGCGAUAAGUAGACCGCCUGGGGAGUACGGUCGCAAGACUAAAACUCAAAUGAAUUGACGGGGGCCCGCACAAGCGGUGGAGCAUGUGGUUUAAUUCGAUGCAACGCGAAGAACCUUACCUGGCCUUGACAUACUAAGAACUUUCCAGAGAUGGAUUGGUGCCUUCGGGAACUUAGAUACAGGUGCUGCAUGGCUGUCGUCAGCUCGUGUCGUGAGAUGUUGGGUUAAGUCCCGCAACGAGCGCAACCCUUUUCCUUAUUUGCCAGCGGGUUAUGCCGGGAACUUUAAGGAUACUGCCAGUGACAAACUGGAGGAAGGCGGGGACGACGUCAAGUCAUCAUGGCCCUUACGGCCAGGGCUACACACGUGCUACAAUGGUCGGUACAAAGGGUUGCUACCUCGCGAGAGGAUGCUAAUCUCAAAAAGCCGAUCGUAGUCCGGAUCGCAGUCUGCAACUCGACUGCGUGAAGUCGGAAUCGCUAGUAAUCGCGGAUCAGAAUGCCGCGGUGAAUACGUUCCCGGGCCUUGUACACACCGCCCGUCACACCAUGGGAGUUUGUUGCACCAGAAGUAGGUAGUCUAACCGUAAGGAGGACGCUUACCACGGGUGUGGCCGAUGACUGGGGUGAAGUCGUAACAAGGGUAAACCCGA
rnacentral:rRNA from 1 species